ACAUACCACUUGUUGCCUCGGCGGAUCAGCCCGCUCCCGGUAAAACGGGACGGCCCGCCAGAGGACCCCUAAACUCUGUUUCUAUAUGUAACUUCUGAGUAAAACCAUAAAUAAAUCAAAACUUUCAACAACGGAUCUCUUGGUUCUGGCAUCGAUGAAGAACGCAGCAAAAUGCGAUAAGUAAUGUGAAUUGCAGAAUUCAGUGAAUCAUCGAAUCUUUGAACGCACAUUGCGCCCGCCAGUAUUCUGGCGGGCAUGCCUGUUCGAGCGUCAUUUCAACCCUCAAGCACAGCUUGGUGUUGGGACUCGCGUUAAUUCGCGUUCCUCAAAUUGAUUGGCGGUCACGUCGAGCUUCCAUAGCGUAGUAGUAAAACCCUCGUUACUGGUAAUCGUCGCGGCCACGCCGUUAAACCCCAACUUCUGAAUGUUGACCUCGGAUCAGGUAGGAAUACCCGCUGAACUUAAGCAUAUCAAA
rnacentral:rRNA from 1 species